rnacentral:sRNA from 1 species
ACACAGAUGUAUCAGUGUUGACUACCAAUCUCUGCUUAUUAUCUGAUGCCAUAUUCUAAACCCUGUUUUCAAAAGUUUUUACAGUUAAUCCGUUCGUUUUCAAUUUUGUUCCAGCGUUUUUUUUUAAAAAGGAUCUUCUGGGUAAAUGUUGGUUUUUAAAAUAAGUUCUUAAUUGUAAUUCUCUUUUUAUUCCUGUGAAAAUGAGAAGAAAAUUAGAACAACC